rnacentral:rRNA from 1 species
GUAGGGAAUCUUGCGCAAUGGGCGAAAGCCUGACGCAGCCAUGCCGCGUGAAUGAUGAAGGUCUUAGGAUUGUAAAAUUCUUUCAGCGGGGACGAUAAUGACGGUACCCGCAGAAGAAGCUCCGGCUAACUUCGUGCCAGCAGCCGCGGUAAUACGAAGGGAGCUAGCGUUGCUCGGAUUUACUGGGCGUAAAGGGCGCGUAGGCGGAUGUCUAAGUCGGAGGUGAAAGCCCAGGGCUCAACCUUGGAACUGCCUUUGAUACUGGACAUCUUGAGUACGGGAGAGGUGAGUGGAACUCCGAGUGUAGAGGUGAAAUUCGUAGAUAUUCGGAAGAACACCAGUGGCGAAGGCGACUCACUGGCCCGUUACUGACGCUGAGGCGCGAAAGCGUGGGGAGCAAACAGG